UGAGCAAGAUGGCAGGCUUAUCAUCACGCA
rnacentral:piRNA from 1 species